rnacentral:tRNA from 1 species
GGCCGCCUGGCGAAAUGGCAUCGCGUCUGACUACGACUUGUUGUUAUCAGGAGAUUGCAGGUUCGACCCCUGCGGUGGUCA